rnacentral:rRNA from 1 species
GGUCUGGGAUGGGCUCGCGGCCUAUCAGCUUGUUGGUGAGGUAAUGGCUCACCAAGGCGUCGACGGGUAGCCGGCCUGAGAGGGUGACCGGCCACACUGGGACUGAGACACGGCCCAGACUCCUACGGGAGGCAGCAGUGGGGAAUAUUGCACAAUGGGCGGAAGCCUGAUGCAGCAACGCCGCGUGAGGGAUGACGGCCUUCGGGUUGUAAACCUCUUUUAGCAGGGAAGAAGCGGAAGUGACGGUACCUGCAGAAAAAGCGCCGGCUAACUACGUGCCAGCAGCCGCGGUAAUACGUAGGGCGCAAGCGUUAUCCGGAAUUAUUGGGCGUAAAGAGCUCGUAGGCGGUUUGUCGCGUCUGCUGUGAAAUCCCGAGGCUCAACCUCGGGCCUGCAGUGGGUACGGGCAGACUAGAGUGCGGUAGGGGAGAUUGGAAUUCCUGGUGUAGCGGUGGAAUGCGCAGAUAUCAGGAGGAACACCGAUGGCGAAGGCAGAUCUCUGGGCCGUAACUGACGCUGAGGAGCGAAAGGGUGGGGAGCAAACAGGCUUAGAUACCCUGGUAGUCCACCCCGUAAACGUUGGGAACUAGUUGUGGGGACCAUUCCACGGUUUCCGUGACGCAGC